AGGACGAACGCUGGCGGCGGGCUUAACACAUGCAAGUCGAAGGGGAUUCAGAGGGCUUGCCCUCUGAUGAGACUGGCGCACGGGUGCGUAACACGUAAGCAAUCUGCCUACAGGAGGGGGACAACUUCGGGAAACCGGAGCUAAUACCGCAUAAUGCAGCGGGGCCGCAUGGCCACAGUUGUUAAAGGACUUCGGUCCGCCUGUAGAUGAGCUUGCGGGUCAUUAGGUAGUUGGUAGGGUAACGGCCUACCAAGCCGAUGAUGACUAGGGGGUCUGAGAGGAUGAUCCCCCACACUGGAACUGAGACACGGUCCAGACUCCUACGGGGGGCAGCAGUGAGGAAUAUUGCGCAAUGGAGGAAACUCUGACGCAGCCACGCCGCGUGCCGGAGGACGGUCCUAUGGAUUGUAAACGGCUUUUGCCAGGGAAGAACCAUCUCGAUUCGUCGGGAUCUGACGGUACCUGGUGAAUAAGCACCGGCUAACUCCGUGCCAGCCGCCGCGGU
rnacentral:rRNA from 1 species